AACUCAAAAUUUGUAUGGAGUUGGAACAGCGCUCCUAGCGGCAAACAUAGGCAAACGUUCCAACUCCAUACAAAUUUUGAGUUA
rnacentral:pre_miRNA from 1 species